rnacentral:rRNA from 1 species
AGUGAACGCUGGCGGCGUGCCUAAUACAUGCAAGUCGAACGAAGUGGCGCACGGGUGAGUAAUAUAUAUUUAAUCUGCCCUACACAGAGGAACAACAGUUGGAAACGACGGCUAAUACCUCAUAGUGUAGGUUGAGACUAUAUCGUAUCAGCAAGUUGGUAAGGUAAUGGCUUACAAAGGCUAUGACGCGGAACUGGGCUGAGAAGAUGAUCAGUCAGCUUGGAGCGGAGACACGGUCAAAACUGCGACGGGAGGGAGCAGGAAGCAAUAUUGCGCAAUGGGGGAGACCCGGACGAAGCAACGGCGCGUGGAGGAGAACACUUUUAGGAGCGUAAACUCCUUUUAGCAUGAAAGCGGUGCCUGAUUAGUAGGCGCCGGCUAACUCCGUGCCAGCCGCCGCGGUAAUUC